rnacentral:rRNA from 2 species
AGAUUGAACGCUGGCGGCAGGCCUAACACAUGCAAGUCGAGCGGAAACGAGUUAUCUGAACCUUCGGGGAACGAUAACGGCGUCGAGCGGCGGACGGGUGAGUAAUGCCUAGGAAAUUGCCCUGAUGUGGGGGAUAACCAUUGGAAACGAUGGCUAAUACCGCAUAAUGCCUACGGGCCAAAGAGGGGGACCUUCGGGCCUCUCGCGUCAGGAUAUGCCUAGGUGGGAUUAGCUAGUUGGUGAGGUAAGGGCUCACCAAGGCGACGAUCCCUAGCUGGUCUGAGAGGAUGAUCAGCCACACUGGAACUGAGACACGGUCCAGACUCCUACGGGAGGCAGCAGUGGGGAAUAUUGCACAAUGGGCGCAAGCCUGAUGCAGCCAUGCCGCGUGUGUGAAGAAGGCCUUCGGGUUGUAAAGCACUUUCAGUCGUGAGGAAGGUAGUGUAGUUAAUAGCUGCAUUAUUUGACGUUAGCGACAGAAGAAGCACCGGCUAACUCCGUGCCAGCAGCCGCGGUAAUACGGAGGGUGCGAGCGUUAAUCG